rnacentral:lncRNA from 1 species
GGCGAAGAUGAUUGAUUGCUUAAUAUUCUGACACCUCUUGUAUGAGAAUGGCCUUCAAAAGCUGUUCAUUGAGCACAUAAAGCACCUCUCUGAGCCUAUUUCUUUUUUAUAUUUUUGUAUCUAAAUGUUUUAUUUUAUUAGUGUAUCGAUCAGAAAUUCAGGCAACCACCUUUUGUAAAUUACUCGAAAGGUAGGUGUUGUUCUGCUCGUAAAUUAAUUUCUUUUGCUCUUCAGACUUGUUGAGAUUUAUAGUCUAUGAAACCGGUCUAGUAAGCAUUAGAACAUU